rnacentral:lncRNA from 1 species
GUUCUUUCCACUUCUGGGGCUGUGACUUGAGUUUCUCCGCAGGAGCAGAUAGUGUUUGUGUAGGGACUGCGGACUUUUGCAUUACAGCCUCCCUGCUUUGCCCGCCUGCUGCUGGAAGCUUAGCAGAGGCCACACCGUAGUCAUAGAGCAAGAGGACUCAGAUACAGUUUGGUUGGUCCUUUACCUUCAAAAGUUCAAGUGCUGGCUGCCGAGACUUCUCCAACUCAGUGAUCAGGGUCCCAAGCUGGACCACCUCCUCAGAACCCUUGAUGACACGGCUGUUCCUCCUUUUGAGACACUUACUGAUGCAAAGGAGACUGAACAGUGAAGGAUCUCACUCAGAAUCCUGUCCACAAUCUGUCCAGUUUACACCUUACCCCAAAGAGAGGUAGCCUGUUAUACAACGUUCUUCACCUCAUUCUCUCACUUCACAAUAUAUCUUGGAGAUCUUACCAAAAGCACACAGAGACCUCCUGCGUUGUGAUUAGAUUUUCAUUGCAUAAUAUUCCAUUGUUCGUGUGUGUGUGAGUGUUUAGUUAGUCUCAAAUUGAUAGGUGCAUGAAUUUUUCCAAUCUUUUGUUAAGGCAAGCAGUAUUGAAUAAACUUGUACAUAAUA